CAGAGUUGCAAAACUCCCUAAACCAUUGUGAACGUUACCUAAACCGUUGCUUCGGCGGGCGGCGCCCUCGCGCGCCCCUGGGCCCCACCGCGGGCGCCCGCCGGAGGUCACCAAACUCUUUAUAUUUAUUGGCCUCUCUGAGUCUUCUGUACUGAAUAAGUCA
rnacentral:misc_RNA from 1 species